rnacentral:tRNA from 1 species
UUAGCUCAGUCGGUUAGAGCAGAGGACUCAUAAUCCUUUGGUCGUUGGUUCGAUCCCAA